rnacentral:misc_RNA from 1 species
GAUGAAGAACGCAGCAAAAUGCGAUAAGUAGUGUGAAUUGCAGAAUUCAGUGAAUCAUCGAGUCUUUGAACGCACAUUGCGCCCCCUGGUAUUCCGGGGGGCAUGCCUGUCCGAGCGUCAUUGCUGCCCUCAAGCACGGCUUGUGUGUUGGGCCUCCGUCCUCCUCCCGGGGGACGGGCCCGAAAGGCAGCGGCGGCACCGCGUCCGGUCCUCGAGCGUAUGGGGCUUCGUCACCCGCUCUUGUAGGCCCGGCCGGCGCUUGCCGACACAUCAAUCUUUUUUCCAGGUUGACCUCGGAUCAGGUAGGGAUACCCGCUGAACUUAAGCAUAUCAAAAGCGGAGGA